rnacentral:rRNA from 1 species
CCUACGGGAGGCAGCAGUGGGGAAUAUUGGGCAAUGGAGGAAACUCUGACCCAGCAACGCCGCGUGAAUGAUGAAGGUCCUCGGAUUGUAAAGUUCUUUUCUAAGGGAAGAAGAAAGUGACGGUACCUUAGGAAUAAGCCUCGGCUAACUACGUGCCAGCAGCCGCGGUAAUACGUAGGAGGCGAGCGUUAUCCGGAAUGACUGGGCGUAAAGGGUGCGUAGGUGGUGUGGCAAGUUAGUAGCGUAACUCCAAGGCUCAACCUUGGAACUACUACUAAAACUGUUGGACUUGAGUGCAGGAGGGGCAACCGGAAUUCCUGGUGUAGCGGUGGAAUGCGUAGAUAUUAGGAGGAACACCAGUGGCGAAGGCGGGUUGCUGGACUGUAACUGACGCUGAGGCACGAAAGCGUGGGGAGCAAACAGGAUUAGAUACCCCAGUAGUC